rnacentral:lncRNA from 1 species
UUUUUUUUUAUGUUUUCAAUAGUUUUUGAGUUUGUGUAAAUGAGUAGAAAUUGAUGUAUAAGUUAGGAAAUGAGUAGAAAUUGGAUGAUUGAUAGUUUAGACAUAGUAUAAAACAUGAUAGUUAGUUGAAAAUGAUUAUCAAGGUUGUAUUUUUUCGUUUCCAUGUCUGCAUUGUCACCAUUGACGUGGCUUCUGGGUUGCAGAAAAUUUCGGAGAUGGAUCUUCGAAAUUUUUCAACGUUUUAUUUUCCCAGCAACCUGAGAUGCAUCUACAGAAUUUUCUCUUUUAUUUUUUUGUUUGUUUUUGUUGCUUGUGGUGUUGUAUGCUUGCACUAAUUGUCUGCUUUACUUUAACUUAUAGGUAUAAUGGAUGAUAGGCAUGAUCGACUGAGGCACAAGAGGUUUGCACAACUUGCAUCAGUGUGGUGGGAGAAGAGUCAGAAGGUUUCAGAGGCUCAUGGUCCCUCUGUCCAUGCAGAGCCAUCUACUUCUAGGGUUCAUGCUUCUCCAUCUUGUUCUUCCCAUAGAAGACGAGUUUCACCUACCGACACAUCACUCCCUCCAUCCUUCUGUAGGCGUCGGGUUUCACCUAUUCAAGCGCCUGAGGUACCCGAGUCACCAGUGGUACCCAAGGAACCACUUCCACCUCCUACUGUUGAUGGUGUUGAUCUAGUGCCAGCUCUAGAGGGUGAGGUUGUUGCGGUUGCUAAGCCAAAGGAAUUUGAAGGAGGCCUGUAGAUUUAUCACUAUUGCUUAUGUACCCAGACCAUACUGCCAAACAUAUAUGGGACUGAGAGGUAGCAUUUGUUAGAUUCAUUCUUUUUAAAUUACGUUUAUUUUAAUUAACAAGUUUGUGACAUUGAUUUUUUUCAAGACUGUGAUCCGCUGAAGUUUAUUAACCACAUGCGGAAGAUUACUAGCUUGUCUCAACUGAAUGAGGAUUGGUUUCAGGUUAUUUUAUCCUUAUCUAUCCUGAAGGACUUGUGCAUGACUAGUUAUGUUACGAGUAACUAUGAGAUGCUUAAUGCAUUCGUGGAGACAUGACACUCGAAUACCUCAUCAUUUCACCUCUCACUUGGUAAGAUGUUUAUCACACUCGAUGAUGUGUCGUGUUUGCUACAUCUUCCGAUCAGGCGGAGACUCCUAGAUCAUGGAAGGAUUAGAAAAGACGAGGCACUCGAGAUGAUGGUAGAUUAUCUAGGGGCUGACCCAGGGGAGGCGAUGCAGGAGUUGGAUAGGACCAGUGGGCUCAUGCUAGAUUUAAAAACCUAAAAAAAGGUAUAUACAUAUGAGCUCUAGAGAGCAUAUAAGGCUAUAGGUGAUGAAGAGCAGGUGGGGCUCCACCAAGCACAUGCUUUGAGAGCAUACCUGCUAUAUUUGGUUGGCACUGUUAUUUUUUAUGGACAAGAGUGCCACUUAUAUAGAUGUCUUCUACCUACAGUACUUCCAAGAUUUCGAGCAGAUCCAUGAGUACAACUGAGGGGGCGCUUAUUUGGUUUGUAAGAACAAUAUUUGGUUCUACAUCUGACCUUUAGUUUUGAUGAUAAUAAUGCAUUGCUUCUUAGAGAACAAUUUUGUACACUAAUGGUUUUUAUCUAGUAUGUAGCUUUUGCUAGCAGGUUCUAACUCUGAAGCAUCGACGUGUGAUGUCAUCAGAUUCUGGAAUCAACACACUCUAACUCUGAAGAGAUACAAGUGCUUUACAAGAUGUUGUCAAGUUCUAGAAAGCUCUUAAACAACGAUUCUGAUGAACGUUUGUGCUAAAACUUCUUACUGUGACUUUGAUUGAAGAGCCCAUGAAGGACUUUCAUCCUUCAUGACUCUACUCUCAAGUUCUGAAGAUUUUGAAGAACAAGAUUUGAAGACUCUAAAGACCAAGUUCUGAGGAACUGUGUCAAGACUCUGAAGACCGGAGUUCUGGAGAUUUUGUCAACUAGUAUCUUGAUCCUUUUAAGCAUGCUUUAACAUCAUUUCAUCAGAAGCCUCUGAAUAUUAGAAGAUAAAAUCAAAAGGUUUUGUGUCAGAAAAAUAGUACACAAUACAAGAUCACCCUUUCCUCUACUAUGCUGAUUUUGUGGGCUAAGGAUAAUACUAUUGUACUAUUUUGUCUCCUAUAUACAAACCAUUACACAAAAAGACAAAUGCAAUUUUCUAUUCCAAUUCUACCCUCUAACUGAUCUUUUAACUUCCUAUAUAAAGGAGACUUGGAAGAUUGGAAGAGGCUGCUAAUGCUAGUUCUUAAUUCACUGUGCAAUAAUACGCUCAUACACACGCUGUUUUGCUGAAGUAUAUAUUUUAUGUGUAUAGUCUUUGUAAACACACAAGAGUUGUUGCUCAUUAUUAUGUGAGAUAUUCAUUGUAUUAAUUUGGUGCUAAUAUGUUUUCUUAGAAGCAAUACUUGUAAACACACCUUGUAAAUCUCAAAUUUGUUUGUGCGGUUUCCUUUAGUGACUAGGUUUUAGUUAGAUAGACUCAAGAAGACAAAGAUAAUUUGUCUUUGUGGUGUCUGUAAUCAGUUUCAGUUAUAGUGGAUUAUCUCCUUGUUGAGAAGGCGGAAUCACAUUGGUAGGGUGGACUGGAGGUAGCUUCGUUAAAAACGAACCAGUAUAAAAAUAACUUUGUUACUUUUCUUGUUCGAUUGAGUUGAUUUUGAAAAAACUUUUAUUUUUAAAAACUCAAUUCACACCCACUUUCUUGUGUUUAUUGUCACCUUCAUGGUUUACUUAUACUCAAAGUUAUCAGAGGGUUGUAGGUGGAAGACGAAGCAAGUCACAUGCAACAUCACACUACUCACUGUAAUAUUUAUUGGACUUUUAAUCUUUUUGUAUCAUUUUCAUUUUAUCUUUACAAUACCAUUGCUUAUGAUUCGUGUGUUCCAAACUUUUCAGGCUUGAAUCUUCCAACACUUCCCGUGCAUCUUCGACUGGGUGAGUGUAUCGAAUUACACUGAAGAUAUCUUGCGUGCUACUACAUUUGCCCAUCUCAGAGGGAACUAGGUGACUGAUCCGUUCAAAGUGUAUCUUGACUGCUUGGUUACCGACCAUAUGCACUUCAAUAGCUAUGUCGAUCACUGUGAGACACAACCAUUUGAUAAGAUAAUACUAUACUCUUGAUGGUUGGCUUGCAUAUCACUUCUCACUGCUCCCCAUUUUCCCGAGUGCAUCAUGCGGCAGUUCAGCUACACUCAGACGAUUUCCUAAACACCCUAUUGUCUCUAUUCCUCCUGUUUUGACAGAUGUAUGACAUGUUUGAUGAUUAUGAGAGUCAUAUGGUACCGAAGAAGGCACUGAGUACCAUAGCACUGAGCGAUUGGAGCUAUGUGGGCGGGUACAUAAGGUGGUUCUUUAGGGUGUCAGAUUUUUCGUAUAUGGUGCAUGCUGCUCCAGGAGACCCACCUAGGCCAGCUCAUCAAGAGAUACUAGAGAAGGAGCAGGAACCGUUAGAUCAUGUUGAGGAUGUCUGGCCUAGACGUUGUUGCAUUAUAGAGAUUGUGCAGGCAUGCAUUGACAGAGGUAUCUUCUCUGAUGGGUGUGAUGUGAGACAGGUCCUAUAUGCCAUAAUGACGGAGGCAUGAGGGGCAUUGAUAUACUGAAGAUAACACCGGUGGACGGAGGAUUGAUGGUCGAGGAGGAAGAGGGGAUGCAUUCUGACAUACACAGUAGUAUAUUAGUAUAUAAUAGUAAUACUAUGGAUUGUAUUCUAUUUUAAUAUCAUGCUUCUUUAUCGUUGUUCUCUACUUUUUUGCCAUUUAUUCAUCUUUUAUUUAUAUAUGAUAUUUUUGAACCAUCUUAAUCUAUGCACAUCAUUCUUUGUAUAUCAGUUGUAUGGUUUAAAUCUCGUCACAUAACAUGAUACACAAUACUUAUAAAUCUUCAUCUGAAUACGCGUAAACAAAACAUAACAUGAAACAUGUUAUUCUAAUAUGUUACAGAGAUGUAACUUUUGAAAAGAAACGGAGAUGCAUCUCCAGAAUAUUUUAACGAUCAAUCAUAAUUGGUGCACCCGUAAAUGCAUAUCCAAAAUUCAGGGACAAUUAAAUAUUUUAGCAUGAUGGCUAAGAAACAUAUAGGGUUCAUUAAGAAAUCCCCUUUUAUAAUGGGUAAGCCCUUAAGUACACCGUAAAGAGAAGGUUGUGAACUUAUAAAAAUAAAAAAAGAAUUUAUUUUUCAUAUGCAUACCGACGACAUUUUUACCUGUCACUCUACAUUUAAACCUGGCACCCCCGAAAUGAUGUGCUUUACUAUAUUACCCUUGCCUAUUAAAAACUCAUUUCACUAUCCAUUUUUAACAUUUUGAAUUUUUCAAAAAGUUGUGCGUCUUACCGUAAUUUUUUAGUCAACUACCAAUUUUUUCCAAGUAUGUAUACAAUGUUACCAAUAACUUUAGUUUUAUACCAUUUUUUUAAAAAGUGCAUUUUUAUCGGAAUUUUAAAAUGUUCGGUAAAAACUCAUGUUUCUCAUGCAUUUUUACCAUAUAUUUUUAAAAUUCUGGUAAAAAUGCAUGUGUUUGAUUGGAUAUUUUGAAAAAUUCGAUAAAAUUGCCUGCAUUUCUACUGGUUAUUUUGAAAGUUUUGGCAAAAUUACAUACAGACAUACUAGAUUUUCCAAAAAAAAAUACUGGUAGAAGAAACUUUUGAGAUGGUUAACUGAAUAUUUCGAAAAAUCCAGGAAACCAUGUUGAUUUCUGAAUUUUUAAAAAAUAUGGUAGAUUAUAUUUCAUCAUUUUUUCCCUUGAAGAAUAAAGGAUCAGACAGGAUGAUUGUGUCUAGGCAACGUGACAAAGCUGCAAAUAGGGUUCGUGUGAGGGAAGAUAACAUCGAGGACUACUAUGUUCGAGCGAGAAGAGUAGCACCGAGUGAUUCUCACAAGAGGCAGCUUGCCAAUUAUAUGAGUUUAUUUUAGGUUUAUAAAUUUAUUAUUUCUUACUAUCUUCAUUCCUUUAUAUAAGAGACAAUUCAUUUUUUAAGUUCAUUGAAUAACUAAUGUAUUUAGUCGGUUUAUAUACUAGAUACACUGAUUAUUCAAUGAAUCCAAAAAGUGAGUUGUCUUUUAUAUAAAGGAACAAAGUUAGUAUUAAUUUAGUUCUUAUUUAUGAAAUUUGUUAAUUUUCCUAGGUUCUUGUGUAGUGUUGGAUAUACAAGCAUUUCCCAUCCAUUUGUGAGAGGCGGGUUAUUCCUACCACAACUGGCUUCACACAGGCCAAGAGAUGGAAGGCCAGACAUGCACACCCAAAUGGUAUUUUGGAGUACAUGAAAAGAAUUAAUAUGUUGACUAUAAAUGAUGUCAUCAUAACACUCCACACAGACCAUAUAGUGCAUCUGGAGUUUGAUGACACUUCCCUUUUUCUGGUAAUCUGCCAUGGAAGACCUUAGUGGCUAGACACUUACUUGAGAGGUGUAUGCGUUAGUUUGGGUAUGUCCAGGACAUCCCACAACCAUUCCUUGUUCCAUCUGAGGGCAUUGAUAGAUGGCUUAUGGGUAAUGUUGUUAGCUCUGCCCAUACCAUUGCAGAUCAUGCAGUGGAGGCGUAAUUCCCUGUGUUAUGUAUGAAUGGCUACUUAGAGUGGUACCUUACUGUAUCACACUCUCAUAUCAUUCCACCAAUUAAGCAUGUAGAUGGUGUUAGACCUUCUUAUGUUGGGGGGUCUUUUGAUGACGUGCCACGACCUCCACCUAUGUGGAUGACCAGUAGAGUAUAUAAAUGAUGACAUUCAUUAUGGAUAACCUCAUGGGUUUUGUAAACCUAGAUGAUGAGGUUUAUACUUUUGUAUUGCAUACAACACACAUAGCCCGUGGGGGACUUGUGUAGACAUUAUUAUUACUUUUUUUAUUAUUUGUAUAUUAUUUGUAUUAUUAUUUGUAUUAUUUUCACCGUGCAAUUAUUCGAUAACACUUCAUCACUUUCAUUAUGAUGGGAUUAACAUAACUUAACACUUGACAAUUAACAUAACCUAACAGAUGACAAUUGACAUAACUUAACACAGACAAUUACAUAACUUAAAAAAACAAUAAUAAAUAACAAAAGUUAGACACUAUAGAUGAUUCUGGAUGUUUCAAUAUCUUAAUUAUAUCAUCGACAGAUCUAGUGAUUGUCGCAUCAACUCGACUGAUCCCUUUGUUAGCCUGUGAUGAAAUGUUCUCCAUAUAACCUUCAAAUCUUCAUUAAUCUCCAACUCAAUUUUUUGUAUUUCACAUUUCCUUUAGUGUGAAUCCAUGGUGCACGAAACUUGAUCUUACCCACCUUUCCGUUCUCGGCGAGAGGUAGCAGAUUAACUAAUAAGGAUCUUAGAACAACGAUAGUGGUGGUGUCCUUGGGUAGCUAAAAAUCAAUAAGAGACUUCACACCGUUGAAGGACACAACUGCCAUAACAAAUAUUGAGACAUUAUAAGAUGUUUUUUUAACAACACAUGAUCCAUAUUUAUACAAUUUUGGAUUCAUUAUGGAUAACAGACAAUUUUCAGUGCAAUCACAAUCAUACAAAACUGUCGUCAAAAUCUCAACCGUUGAAAAUUACACUACCAGGUUUUUUGAAGCCCUUCUAAAAGUCUGGUAAAUGCACAAGAUUUUUUAAAAAUCGAUGAUUUUACACUACCAUAUUUUUCAACUUUUUGGAAAAAAAAUUGAUACGCAAUGGUGUUUUCUAAAAAAUUGACAUGUUUUUGCAUCCACCGUUUUUUUAACUUGUAAAAAUGCAUUACCAGAUUUUUCUACUCAUGCGGGAUUUUAAACUUGUAUACCGAAUUUUUGUGCGCUCUUGAUAACCCACAUUUUGUGAGUUAUUACAUACCUUAAUCUUUCUUUAUUACUAGUUAAAUUUCUCUUUAGUUGAAUUUUGUUAGCUCAUUUAAGAUGUUUUUAUAGUAAUUUGCUUGGGUAUGUGCUCCUUUUAUUUGUUUUGAUGUGUUUUUUCUUGAUUUAAGGGUUGCUCUGUCGAGUUGAGGAAAGACUGUAGUGGACAGUGCAUGGGAGUGCAAACUGAAGCAAAAAGAUGAACUCGAUUAAGGGAGAAAAAUAGAGAAGACAGAUGGGUUCCUAGGGUAAACAUGGAAGGAUUGAUGCAUUAGAGGUAUCAAGACUCUUAAAGGAGAAACAAGAAUCUUAUUGAAUUCUUUAGCAAGAGGUAUUAUGCUAAAAAUAUCUGAUAUGGAGGUAUAUGAGUUGAUCGAGACUAUGGCCUAGAAUGAGUAUCAUGCAAUAUCAGACAGAUAUGUUAGAAGAAGAAGGAAAUUUUUUGACACUUAAAACACAUUCUUAGAAAGCUACAAACAAAUAAAAGCACAAUUGGAUUCCCUGACCAAACAACUAACAGGUCCCCAAAGGGGAUUUGAUCAAGUAAAGUAGAUAUAACAAUCUCUAAUUUGUAAUUACUGUGAUGAUGGUCAUGAUAAUGGCCAAUACACAUUAGAAGUAUUCCCCGAUGAAGAAGCUAAUUUCAUGCGGAAAUUUUAAAGAAAUAAUCAUUUCUCUACAAACAAUCCUGCAUGAAGAAACCACCUGAAUUUCAGAUGGAGUGACAAUCAAGGUCAAGGUUUGAAUCAAGCCCAAUAAUUAACAACAACAACAACACGAAGAUCAGUCUCAAAAACAUAAAUAGGCAAGAAAAUAUUUUCAAAUUAAGGAUGCCUUGAGCCAGUUCGUACAAGUUACAAAGGACUAUUUUAAAAACAUGCAGCUUGGCCAAGAAACUUCAAAUAAGAAUAAUGAACUGUCAAUAAAUAAAUUGGAAACACAAAUUGACUAAUUAUCCAAACAAAAUGCAGCUAUGUCUACCAACAAAUAUGAAGGGAAUACAAUGGGUAAUUCCAAUAAAAAUAAGAUAUGUUAUGUUAUAAUUUUGAGAAAAAGUAUGUUUUCUAAAAUGGAAAAAUGUUCUGCAUUACCAUAAAAAUCAUUAGAUAAGAUUGAUGUUAAAAUGGAAUGUAGGGUUGGAGAGGAAGAAAAAAUAGUGAGCAGAGUUGAAAAAGGCGAGGAAAAGAAAAAAGAGUGUGGAGUGACAAGAGUGAUUAGGGAAGAUAAAAUUAAAGAGAAAUAAAUUACAACUCUUAUAUAGCUAAUGUGUCCACCACUAAAGAAAAAGGAUCCUACAGAAAGCCAAUACAAAAAACAAUCCUUGAACUAUUCAACAAUAUACAUAUAAACAUCCAUUUUUCAGAAGCAUUUCAACAAAUUUCAGAAUAUGCGAGUAAUUAUAAAGAGCUUCUAACAAAAGUUAGAAUUCUUAUAAGUAAAUAAAAAUUAACCUAUAAUAAGGGUGCAAUGCUAUCAACCAAAGGAAGCUUCCACGAAAGUUACCAUAUCCAAAAAGCUUUAUUAUUUCUUGUAUCAUAGGAAACCUACAUAUUCCAUGAUCAUUAAGUGAUUUAGGGAAAGUGUCACUUUGACAUUUCUCUCAAUAAUAAAGAAAUUGGGUGAAGAAGAAAAGUCAACUAACAUGAAGCUAACAUUGGUAACCAUGUCAUAUAUAUUCUCUCAUGGGAUAAUAGAGAAUGCGAUAUACUCAAAAUGUGGAACUUUAUUUACCUAGUUGGAUUUUUAUUUCUUGAUAAUGAAGAAGAAGCAGAGAUCUAUAUAACUUUGGGUAGGCCUUUUCUAUGAAUUGCGAGAGCUAAUUUUAAUUUAGAAACAGGCGAGAUCAGACCAAAAUUUUGAAAAGAGAAUAUUAUCAUUAAAUUGUAUGAUGGUUUGAAAUAAUGUGAAGAAGGUCCAACAUAGUGUAAUGUAAAAAUGAAACAAAAAUAAAAGUUUUAAAAAAUAUCCCCCAUUUUCAACUAGAGAAAAGGAGAAAUAAAAACGGAUUUACAAUAUUUACCCACUAAAGGAAGAAGAGGAAGAUAGCAUCAAUGGUGAAACAUCAAUUCAAAAUAGGGAUAUAUUUAGAGUUAAAAAGGCAUGGUUUUAAAAGAUAAAGAAGCAAAGAAUUGAGAUGAAUCAGAUAUCCCAUAAUGGAUAAAUCUUCCAUACCUAGUUGCACCAAAGAAAAAAGCUAAACUAGGAAUUAUUGUAUGAAGAAACGAGAAUAUUGAUGGUAGGAAUAAAUGGAAGUACUAUUCCUAACUAGUGAGGUGAGACAUCAAGCUAAUGACGUAAAAUUAGCGUUGGGUGGGAGGCAACCCUUCAAACAAUAUUUUUUUAAAAUUUUUUGUCAUGUUGAUUUAGAGUAAACCAAAUUUUUGAGAAAAUUAACAUAUAAGUAAGUUUUGGGAAGAAUUGAGAAUUGGAUGAAAAUUUCCAAAAAAAAAACGUGGUUUUAGUAAGAAUAGUUUCAUUCUACAAGCUAGAAACUUUGAUUAGGAUACUUUAUCUGAUCACCCCCAUUGCACUUGAAAAUCUUAAAUCUAGAAGGUGGAAGUCAUAUAAUGAAAUUUUGGGGGAAAUGACCAACCUCGCCAUUGGGUCUAACUUCUAUGCAAAAAUGUAUGAAUCCAAUAGAGACCAAAAAUAUUUUGUGCGAGGAAAGGUGGUUGAUUAUAUCGUUAGCACUAUUAAUAGAGUCUUUCGACUUAAAGAGCCUUGUGUGUGUGUGUGUAUGUGUACGUGUGUGCGUCUGUGUGUGUAUACGUCUGUGUGUGUACGUAUGUGUGUGUAUGUGCGCGUGUGUGUGUGGGGGGGGGGCUGUGUACGCGUCUGUGUGCAUGUCUGUGUGUGUGGUGUGUGUGUGUGUGUGGUACGCGCGUGUGCAUGCGUGUGUCUCUGUGUGUGUGUGUGUGUUGCGCGCGUGUGCAUGUGUGUGGUGUAUGUGCACCGUGUGUAUGUGUGUGUGUGUGUGUGGGGGUGCGUGUAUGUGUGUGCGCGUGUGCGUGUGUUUAUGUGCGUGCGCGUGUGUGCGUUUGUGAGUGUGUGUGUGUGUGUACGUGUGUGUUGUGUGUCUGUGUGCGCGUCUGUGUGUGCGUGUAGUGUUGUGUGUGCAUUUGUGCGUGCGUGUGUGUGUGUGUGUGUGUGUGUGUGUGUGUGUGUGUGUGUGUGUGUGUGUGUGUGUGUGAGAGAGAGAGAGAGAGAGUUGAAUAUACAUGAGCAUGAUUGAGAUCUUUUGAUUUAUCCAUAUUGAGGUAUGAGAAUAGAAGUAGAAAUUGAUAAGGAUCAUGAAAGUACUCUUGUGAGUAGCAUCAAACUUAGAUAUUAUCAUCAAAGCAGGUAAAUUCUUAUGUUUUUCUUAAAAAUAUCAAUUUUCAAGCUUUUUCUUUGAGGGCAAGAAAUUGUUCAAGUUUGGAAUUGUGAUGACAGUUCGCUACAACAUGUUUUUAGUAUGGUUUAGAUUCAAUUUAUGUGCUUUUUCUUUUAAUUUGUUUUUUUAGGAUUUAAUCAAUAUUCCAAAAAAAUAUGGAAAAGAGCAAUUCAAGUUGAAAUUAUUCUAAGCAGACAAAUUCUAUGGUAUUUAUUGUGGAUGUUAUGCUGAAAAAAUAAGGAGAUGACUCACAUGUAAGAAACGGAAGAAAAAGAAAAGAAAUUUCUAGAAACACAAGAAACAUAUUACGACUAUUCAACGGAGCAAUAUGAUUCGAACUUUGAAAGAAAAAAAAUCAGCAUAAGAAUAAAUUUUCCUCGCCCAUAGUAUAACAUCACUUUCACAAAGCAAGAACAACUCGUUUAAUUAGAUAACGAAAUGCCAUGUCAGACACAUAGUUAAAAUCGCGGCGAGCCCUUAGGGCAUAUAAGCAUGAUUAUGCAAUCAUAUUUCUAAAUAUAGUAACAUAUGCUUAGUCAUUAGGGUUCUGAAUUUUAUGAUAAAGAAUGCAUAUUCUGAAGCAAGUGAGUAUGGAAAAAUGCAAGCUAUCAUUGAUGAAUCAUCCCAAAUUAUUUGUAAGGAUAAUUUCUCUCUUUCUAUUGGAUUGGUCAUGAAUCACAUAAGAAAGAGUGACUAGUUUUCUUAUAUUAGAUCCCUUUAAAUGAAUUUUCCCCUAAUAAUGUGAAUGAUGCGAUACAUUUAGAUUUACUCUCUAUAAUGAAACUCUUCUUAUAGAUAUUCAAUGUUAUUUUGUGUAUAAUGUUUUCUUGCGUCUACGAUAUUGGGGAAUUGAUAUAGAUAGAAAUGAUUUCAAUGAUAAAUUUAUCAUAAUUAAAUAAUGUUGUAGGGUUGUUUAUGAUUGCUAGACAUAGAGCAUACCAGUUGUGACAUUAGGUAUUUUACGUUCGAUCAGACCUUCAUCGGUUGUGAAUUUCCCCAAGGACAUUGGAGGAGAUUGUAAUCACACGAAGCAAGUUACACAAUGAUGAAAUUGUUCGUAACUAUUUUUUAAAAUAGUAGUGAUAUCAGAAGACUCAUUAUAAGUUAAACCAGAGAUUAACCACAUGAAAAAGACAAAGAAUUCUAAGAGUGGACUUAAACGUUUAUCUAUUAUAAGUGCUAACAGUUAGUUUACUUAACUAGUUUUAUGUAAGAUUUCCGCAAUGGAUACAAUAUAGAAUUUUAAAUUUACUCAUCACUUGUAAUUUUUGUUGGCAAAACUUUUAUACUACACGUUGAUUUUUACAACAUUGAUCCUAUCAAUACUUAUUUUCAACUCUUUCUUCAACUUUGACUGACAAAUUUUCCCCUAAAACACUCAGAUUCCAAUGAUGUUUCUUGUUGGCUUCCUAUGAUCAUAAUAACAUUUUUCCAAAACACUCGUAUUCGUAUUGAUGUUUUUUUGUUGACACAUGCAUCACUAACAACAUUUUUCCACUCCGUAUUGCACACCACUUAAGCCUAGUUACUACACCAAUUCACUAGUUUUCGGUUAGGGUUCAUAAUGUAUCUCAUUUACAAUGUCAAUGCAUUUGUAAUAGUGUCCAGUGAUUGUCAUAAUCAUAAUAAUGAUGUAGAGAUGACAUCAAAUAGAAAUCAUUUUUGAUAGUAUUCUCACCAUUAAGAUUUUCACUACACAUUGAGCAUUUUUCAACAAAAUUAACAAAAGUUAGAUGUAAUCUCUAAAUCGAAGUAGUAUCUUUGUGCUAUAGUGGGAAAUUUAAGUUUGAAGGAUUAUUUUUACCAUAAAUCCACAUGUUUGUGAUCUUAAACCUCGUAAGUUAAGGAGGGAAAUCAUAGAUAUUUUUAAAAUGAUGAUUUUUUUUUUAGCUAUGGUUGAAAUCAAACAUUGGUAUCUCUAUCUUUUGUAUUAAAAAUGAAACAAUCUUUGUUAUCUUGGGACAUAUUACUUUCAUAGAGAUAUUUAGUUUUCAAAAGUUAGAGUCAAAAGUUUAUUUUCUUAUUAAAAUAAGCUCCAAACAAAUUUUUCUAACAAUUGUUUUACAAUUAGACCGGACGAAUCCCUUAACCGCUUAUAUUUUUAAACUUAAUAAUCUUAUUCCAACCAACAAUAUGUAUGGAGCAAUCCAAUUUCCCAUGUCAAACAAAAUUUGUCACAAACUUAUCAAAGGUAUCGCAAGCGUAUAAAGGAAACUAACAAAUUUGCAUACAAUAAGUAGUUAUAGAUGUAAGAACGGCCUUGACAAGAGUAACUCCACAUGACUUGUUCAACCGUCUAUAUUUCCAAGAAACAAGCUUUGAGGUUACGUUAUCAUAGACUUCUAAGAAAUCUGCUUUCUAUGUGCAUUCAACUAAGUUCACAGUCAUGUUGGCAUUCAAUGGCGGCGUUCAUAGAAGAAACAAUUGCGUGAAAAGUAGUGAACGGAACCACUAUCGCAUGAGAGAUCAAUAAUUGAAAUUUAAAAUUUUCAUCAAAAUCGGUUUAGAACCAAAUCCAAACUAAUUUAAACUUUCAUCAAAAUCGGUUUUCUGAAAUAAUGGUUUGAUUUUUUAACCUUAAUUUAAGAGAAUGAAACGUCAAAGAGCAUUUUAAAUCUAAAUACAUGACACACAUAUAGCAACAUGUAAUUCGAUGAGUAUAUCUUUAAUAUCUAUAAUUUAAAAGCUCAAAAUAAACAUUCAGUCUUAGACAAAUACAAGUCAUGAUGACAAUUUCAUACCACAUAAUUCCUCCAUAGUCUUUAGACGAUGGGAAAAGAUACACACAUGUAAUUAUUCAUGAACACAACAUGUGCUUCAAUAUAAUACAUAUAAUCAUGAGGUACAAAUUAAAACACAAAUUAACAAACACAUUUAAUAAGAAUAUAGUACAUAGAUUUCAUGAACUUUUUAAGGUAGUUAUGGCUUAGGCACAGUUGGAACAGUAAGCAACUAUGGCUUUGGAAUUGUUGGCAAUGUAGGAAGAGUAGGUAGUGUUGGAAGAGUAGGUAGUGUUGGUAGAGUAGGAAGUGUUGGUAGUGUUGGUAGAGUAGGAAGUGUUGGUAGAGUAAGUUUGGAAACUUGAUGUAUGUUUUGAAGGUUACGUGCUCCUUCAACAUUUGUCAAUGAAGAAAAAGUUAUGAGAAGAAGAAGUGGUAUAAUGAAUGGCAAAACAUUCAUGGAAGCCAUUUUUUUUUAAAACUAGAAAGAUUAGUAUUAUGUCUAUAUGAUGACAGUUUUGAUGUGUUUGAGGUAAUGGUUUACUAUAUGUCUUGUGGCCUUUUAUAGACAAAAGUUUUGUGUAUCAUGGGAUUUGUG